GACGAACGCUGGCGGCGUGCCUAAUACAUGCAAGUCGAACGCUUCUUUCCUCCCAAGUGCUUGCACUCAAUUGGAAAGAGGAGUGGCGGACGGGUGAGUAACACGUGGGUAACCUACCCAUCAGAGGGGGAUAACACUUGGAAACAGGUGCUAAUACCGCAUAACAGUUUAUGCCGCAUGGCAUAAGAGUGAAAGGCGCUUUCGGGUGUCGCUGAUGGAUGGACCCGCGGUGCAUUAGCUAGUUGGUGAGGUAACGGCUCACCAAGGCCACGAUGCAUAGCCGACCUGAGAGGGUGAUCGGCCACACUGGGACUGAGACACGGCCCAGACUCCUACGGGAGGCAGCAGUAGGGAAUCUUCGGCAAUGGACGAAAGUCUGACCGAGCAACGCCGCGUGAGUGAAGAAGGUUUUCGGAUCGUAAAACUCUGUUGUUAGAGAAGAACAAGGACGUUAGUAACUGAACGUCCCCUGACGUAUCUAACCAGA
rnacentral:rRNA from 1 species